rnacentral:rRNA from 1 species
UACGAAGGGGGCUAGCGUUGCUCGGAAUGACUGGGCGUAAAGGGCGCGUAGGCGGAUGGUACAGUCAGAUGUGAAAUUCCUGGGCUUAACCUGGGGGCUGCAUUUGAUACGUAUUGUCUAGAGUGAGGAAGAGGGUCGUGGAAUUCCCAGUGUAGAGGUGAAAUUCGUAGAUAUUCGGAGGAACACCAGUGGCGAAGGCGGCUCACUGGUCCAUUACUGACGCUGAGGUGCGAAAGCGUGGGGAGCAAACAGG